GCCAGUGUGGUAUAGUGGUUUGAGUGUUGGACUAUGACUCUAGAGACCAGGGUUCAAUUCCCUCUCGAGCA